GAUGAAGAACGCAGCGAAAUGCGAUAAGUAAUGUGAAUUGCAGAAUUCAGUGAAUCAUCGAAUCUUUGAACGCACAUUGCGCCCCUUGGUAUUCCGAGGGGCAUGCCUGUUCGAGCGUCAUUAUAACCCUCAAGCUCAGCUUGGUGUUGGGGCCUGCUGCACUGGCAGCCCUUAAAAUCAGUGGCGGCGCCAUCUGGCUCUAAGCGUAGUAAUUCUUCUCGCUAUGGAGUCCUGGUGGAUGCUUGCCAUCAACCCCCAAUUUUUCUAUGGUUGACCUCGGAUCAGGUAGGAAUACCCGCUGAACUUAAGCAUAUCAAUAAGCGGAGGA
rnacentral:misc_RNA from 1 species